rfam:Ictidomys tridecemlineatus contig025592, whole genome shotgun sequence.
GGGGUUGUGGCUCAGCAGUAGAGCGCUCGCCUCGCAAGUGUGAGGCCCUGGGUUCCAGCCUCAGCACCA